UACGUAGGUGGCAAGCGUUGUCCGGAUUUACUGGGCGUAAAGAGCGCGCAGGCGGUCUUGUAAGUCGAAUGUGAAAGCCCCUGGCUCAACCGGGGAGGGUCAUUCGAUACUGCUCGACUCGAAGGCAGGAGAGGGAAGCGGAAUUCCCGGUGUAGUGGUGGAAUGCGUAGAUAUCGGGAGGAACACCAGUGGCGAAGGCGGCUUUCUGGCCUGUUCUUGACGCUGAGGCGCGAAAGCUAGGGGAGCAAACGGG
rnacentral:rRNA from 1 species